ensembl:miRNA
UGAUUACCUUGUCAGACACACAAUGUGGAACAUACACAUAUUGUGGUCUUCCCUGUCAGGUAAUCAACAAU